rnacentral:tRNA from 1 species
GGGGAUUUAGCUCAGCGGUAGAGCAUUUGCCUAGCAAGUGCAAGGCCCUGGGUUCGGUCCCCAGCUCCA